rnacentral:ncRNA from 1 species
AGAGUUGUGAAGUCCAUCCUUCUCCUGCAUUGGUUGAUCUGGACAGCAGGACGGUGGCCAUGGAAGUUAGAAUCCGCCAAAGAGUGUGUAACUAGUCACCUGCCAAAUCAACUAGCUGUGAAAAUGGAUGGCGCUGGAGCAUCGGUCCCAUACCUGGCCGUCGCCGGCAGUGCGAGACCCGUGGGGGCUAUGCUGCAUCAAGUAGGAGGGCCGCUGCGGUGCGCCUCGAAG